CUUCAGGCCCUUGGGCCGAUGCCGGCCUUGCUGACAGUGGCUUCAGGCCCCAGGGCAUGUGCUGGCCCUUUGGGCUGUGGCUGUAGGCCGCAGGGCCAGUGCUGCCCUAUGUGGCUGUGGCUUUAGGCCCCAGGGCUGGUGCCGGACUCACUGGAUGUGUCUGUGGCUUUAGGCCCUGGAGCUGGUGCUGGCCUCUCAAUGCCAUGAGUCUGGCUUUCUGCCCCCGGGCUGUGCUGGCCUCUCUGCCUCUGGCUGUGGCUGUAGGCCCAGGGCUGGUGCUGACCUCUCAGGCUGAGGAUGAGUCUUCAGGAUGCAGCGCCAGUGCAGGCCUGCCUGCCUGUGGCUUCAGGCCCCGGGGUCUGUUUAGGCAUCUCUGGCUGUGGCUUUAGGCGCUGGGGUCGGUGCUGGCCUCUCUUGUGGUGGCUUUAGACCACAGGGACCUCAUGCCUCUCUGGCUGAGGCUUUAGGCCCCGGGGCUGUGCUGGCCACUCAGGCGCUGCCUUUAGGCCCUAGAGCUUG
ensembl:lncRNA